CAAAAGAGCGAGUUAAGAAUUUUGCCCUUUGCAUGCACUCUAGAUGCUAGUUUAUAGGCUGGAGAGAUUUGCAUCCCAAAAUUUGUGAUUCAUUGCCAUAAAACUUCUCCAGAGGUUAGUGGCUUUAACCAGGUUAGUCCUUGAAAAUGUAUUUAUCACCCUCCCACCCCACUUCCAUCCAGGAGAUACUGGUUUUGCUGCUUUCCACCCACACCCUUUUCUCCAAUAGCUCACUAACUAGAGAACUCACUGUGGAUUUAGAAGACCAGGUUCAAAUCCUUAAUCUAUUUCAUUUGAAGUGGGAAUUUGAGCCCAGGCCCACCUGGGGUUCUGCAGUGAUCUGGAAGCCAGGACACUCACAGGAACUGUUCUUACUUUACUGAGGGUUCCUCUAAGUACACACCUUUGGGUAAGAUUUCCACACCUGCCUGCCUCCAAGUCCAGCAUUUGGAAGUUACGUUUAAUCUCCUCUUUCCAUCAUCAGCUGAUGAUUCAGGUAGCAGGUGGCUCAUGAAUGCCGCGAUUCUGGGGCACAUGGAGUAUCCCAUAGAAGCACGGGGGGCUCCCCAGCACGCUCAGCAGCAGAUCCAAAGUGGACCAGAAGCACUUCAAGUCCACUUCCGGGGCCACCAGGGAGUGAGUUGGGGGUGCCCCCCGCAUGCCCCCAGCUCAGAUCUGCAAGAAGGAAGAAAGGAAUUGACAGGGAAGCAAACUUGAGACUUUGGUGACUUUGAUCAGGUUCGGCUUGGUGGAAUGGAUGAGCCAAAGACUAAAUGCAAAUUGGCAGACAUGCAGUGAGAGCAGACAACCAUUCUGAAAAAGCCGUGAAACAACUAAAUCAAUCUCGUCUGACAAUUCUUUGUCCUUUCUGCUGCCUACAUCCAUAUUUUCUGUGUAGUCUUGGACUCCUUCCUUUUUGUUUAUUUUCUGUCUCUUACCAAGUCCUGUCAUUUUUCUCUAUCGAUUUACCUUUUAACAUGUUAGAUCAUGGUCUUUGUUCUCAUCUAUAAGUCUGGGCAUUUUAUGGACCUCAUCAACACCCCUGCUGUCAUUUCUCCUUAUACCUAUUUUUGCUUCAGACUCUUCCCCAGGCUUCCACCUGGUGCCUUUUGUCUUCUUUUACCUUUCUCAUUGUCAGACAUUCUGUCUUCCUACCUUAAUGGGUGCAGUCUUUAGUGACUAAGUGCUUUUUCCCCCUCUUUAAAUUUUCUCCUCAAAACUAAUCUCUUGAAUCAAUAUCCUCUCUCUUUCAUUCAUUCUUGCUGCCCAGACUCUCUUUUUCCUGGGGUACUGCAUUGUUGUUGAGUUGCUUGAUUUAGACUGUAAGUCUUUGGGCAGGAAUGAAUCCUUCUGUCUGUACUGGCUGUGUAAAUGUAAGGUUCUAUUCAAAUUACUUGUAAUAAAAAUGAAAAAAACA